rnacentral:rRNA from 1 species
CUUAUCCACGGGGGGCAGCAGUGGGGAAUACUGCACAAUGGGGGAAACCCUGAUGCAGCGACGCCGCGUGAGUGAAGAAGUAUUUCGGUAUGUAAAGCUCUAUCAGCAGGGAAGAAAAUGACGGUACCUGACUAAGAAGCCCCGGCUAACUACGUGCCAGCAGCCGCGGUAAUACGUAGGGGGCAAGCGUUAUCCGGAUUUACUGGGUGUAAAGGGAGCGUAGACGGUAGAGCAAGUCUGAAGUGAAAGCCCGCGGC